rnacentral:tRNA from 1 species
GCCUGGCUGGCUCAGUCAGUAGAGCAUGUGACUCUUAAUCUCAGGGCUGUGAGUUCAAGCCUCAUGGGAGGGA